UCCGAAAUUGCCUCAAGUCCAGAAUCGCC
rnacentral:piRNA from 1 species